rnacentral:snRNA from 2 species
AUACCUUUCUCGGCCUUUUGGCUAAGAUCAAGUGUAGUAUCUGUUCUUAUCAGUUUAAUAUUUGAUAUGUGGGCCAUGGGCUGCUCGAUAUUAACUCAAUAUUUUGAGGGAAGAAGCCUGACAAUAUAUCUUGCUAUAUGGGUUUCCAUGAGUUGCCCAUGCGUUGCACUAGUGCACGGGCUGGCUCAACCCAC